CUGCGCUCUCUCCUAAAUCCUUAUGUAUAUUUAAACAAAUGGAGGUUUAAAUAUACAUAGGGAUUUAGGAGAGAGCACAGGU
rnacentral:miRNA from 1 species